AAAGGUAACGUCAAGGAGGAUGGGUAUUAUCCACCCCUUUCUUCCCAAUUGAAAGUGCUUUACAACCCGCAGGCCUUCUUCACACACGCGGUAUUGCUGGAUCAGGCUUGCGCCCAUUGUCCAAUAUUCCCCA
rnacentral:rRNA from 1 species